rnacentral:rRNA from 1 species
UACGGAGGGUGCAAGCGUUGCUCGGAAUACUGGGCGUAAAGCGUACGCAGGCUGCUUGCCAAGUCGGGUGUGAAAUCCCGGGGCUCAACCCCGGAACUUGCGCCCGAAACUGGCGGGCUUGAGUGCGGGAGAGGGAAGCGGGAAAUUCCGUGGUGUAGAGGUGAAAUUCGUAGAUAUCAGGAGGAACACCGAUUGCGAAGGCAGCUCGCUGGAACGUUACUGACGCUGAGACGCGAAAGCGUGGGGAGCAAACAGG